ACUUUGAAAUACAACUUUCGUACCUAAAAUACCUAAUGUUAGUCUAAUGUUCGAAGUAGAAUUGUUGCUUGUUGAAUUCAUAGCCAUUCGUUUAAUGACAAUUUUAUUGCGCGAAAAAUGAUUAAUGGCACGUUAUUUGCUCGCUGAGGGAAAUACUCGGUGAUAGGUUAAUGGACGUAAAAAAUGAACAGGCUGGCGUAAAGCGGCAGAGAGAUACGAGCCUCGACGAUGAUAGAUAUGGUUUAACCAGUCGUAAUUGUUUUGCGUUCGUUCUUAAUUGGGGCUACUUGUUCGUUACGUUUCUUCCGAAUGGGUAAGAAGCUAUGAAGUUUUAAUAAAUGCCUUGAUCGAGCUGUUAACAUGUUCUGUGGGGAAACAGGUAAAAAAAAAAAAAAUCUCAAUUCGUUAGUCAGUUUGUAUCGUCAUUAAUAACAAACACAAAAAACAAAGAAUAAUAGAAUCACAACUUGAAUUCACAAAUCGAUCGUAAAAUGAAGGUUAUUUUUUAUCUCUCUCUCUCUUGAUUCGUUGUUUCCUUUCAACGACGCAUUGCAGCUUUAUUAUUGAUUCAAACGAACAAGACGAUUCGAGACCAUUGGAUAGCCAGGCUUUCCACGUCCUGUGUUCAAACCUUCCGAGUGAUUUCUAGGUCAGAUAACAAUUAGAAAUAACUCGAUUGAAUUGGUAUACCGAUCAGUGAGACGGUAAAGGUGGUCGGCUCGCUUUCGAAAGUGAUGACCCCAGGGAGCGGUAAAGAUGCGUGCAGGUGCUUCCUCUUUGCAUUUUAUACCUAGAACAACACUAAUGCGAUGAAGAUUAGCUUACUUAAGUUCCCAUGAACUAUUUUUGAGCUUAAUCGUUUGCACUGAUCUCCUGUUAUACGUUGUAUACGUACGCCAGCCAGGUUGUAAUAGAUAAUUACUCCUGCGACCAGGUAGGGGGAUAGACGUUCCUGGAUCGCUAAUGAGCUUCUGGAAUAUUAUCGAUGCUCACGGUAAUGCUUAUAACUGCUUUUCAACUGAGAUUGUAAAUUUUCCGUUGUUCACUGAUUUCUGAGGGAAAGAUGCACGCCGAUUAUGCAUUGGUGGAAUAUAAUAGUGUUUUAAAGAUACCCUGUUGCUUCUAUCUGAACGAGGAAUUACCAGUAGAUUUGCCAGAACGAAGCGAAGACGGACAUAUAUAUAUAUAUAUACUCAGAAAUGCAAAGAUAUUCAAAUAAUUGCCUCUUACGAAAUAGAAAUGAAUAUCGUAUAAUUCUUGGAAGGAAAAUAAACUGUAUAAUAGGUGAUCAAAGCGCAGGCAUCAGAUUUGUACAUAAGUAUUCGAUCUUGCGUAAUAAAAAAAAAAAAACAUUGAACUGUGAUCCCUUGACGAACUCGAAAAAAUUACAUGGCGAAAACUAUUGCAACGUCGGAAGUGGCAAUGCUCGGGAAGCGUACGGUUCUCAAAGGGUUAAUUGGGCAUAGUAAUUCUUCAGGUGACCAAGCUCCAUGGGAGUGGAACGGAGAAAACCCAGUUUUAUGCUUCGCAUUAAGUGAUAAGUUAUCGUAACAUUUUUAUGCAAUGAGGAGGAGGGAAUAUCACUGUCGCGAAAACGGAGUAAAUAUUAUGUAAUAUUGGAUGAGUGACAACAGCUUAAUUGUUACUACACAUGUAUCAAAUAUAAUUAUAUUUUAAAGUUCCAUUAUCUUGUCAUCAACUAAUUAACUUCUACAUUGAUGUUGAAAUAAUCGAGUAAUUCCUUUUACAAUCCUGUAAAAAAUUGAUUUUUUUCAAUUAAUUUUGGUACAAAUAUCUUCUCUAUGAUGAUAUAUAUAUAUUAAAAUUUGGAAUUCACAAACAGAUUUUAAAUACUUAUAUUACAAUUAACAUUUCUUAC